CAUUAUCAAAAGUCAAGUCGGGGGCUGUAAAGCUCUCGUCUACACCCAUGUCUUUUGCGUACUCUUGUUUCCUCGGUGGCGCAAGCUGCCGAUUGGACAAACCAAAACCUUUUUUGUAAUUGCAAUCAGCGUCUGAAAAUAAUCUAAUUAUUUACAACUUUCAACAACGGAUCUCUUGGUUCUGGCAUCGAUGAAGAACGCAGCGAAAUGCGAUAAGUAGUGUGAAUUGCAGAAUUCAGUGAAUCAUCGAAUCUUUGAACGCACAUUGCGCCCCUUGGUAUUCCAUGGGGCAUGCCUGUUCGAGCGUCAUUUGUACCCUCAAGCUUUGCUUGGUGUUGGGCGUCUUGUCGUAUUACGACUCGCCUUAAAUUCAUUGGCAGCCGGCACUUUGGCCUAGGAGCGCAGCACAUUUUGCGAUCGUAGCCCGUUGCACUGGCGUCCAUCAAGAACAUUUACCACGUUUGACCUCGGAUCAGGUAGGGAUACCCGC
rnacentral:rRNA from 1 species